rnacentral:lncRNA from 1 species
GUUUGAACCACCCCCUUAAAAUUACCCAAUCUCCAUGAAACUGACCCAAAAUCAAAGUCACUCGGCGGACACACAUCAGGGGUUUCUCGGCGUCGAUUCGAGGUUGAAGAGGUUUUGGGUUUGUUUUGGGGCGAUUUGUUGAGGUUUUGGUCAAUGGAUGUUUUCGGUGCCUACGGUCGCAUGGGGAGAAGGCGCGCGCCGCCCCACCCCCACCCCACUUUAUUUGGGGCCUUUUGGGGUGUUUUUAGGAGUUAUCAUUACCCCGGCGCAAAACGGGUUCAGAAAGCGCGAUUUUGGGUCAUCCCCAGCGCAGAACAGACGUAAGAAAUGGGCUCAGAGCACGAAACGGGCUCAGAAAGAGAGAGAUUUUGGGUCAGCCACACAUGUAAAAUGGGCUGAGAAAGUGGGAUUUUGGGUCAGUCACACGGCGCCAGCGCGAAGCGGGUUCAGAAAUGGGCGUUUUGGGGGUGAAGCUCGCGGCGAAACAGGCGCAGAAAGCAACAUUUUGGGUGCGUUGUGAGAGCGUCGCUGCUGCCCCAACACAGAAUGGGCUCAGAAAGCAG